UACGGGGGGGGCAAGCGUUGUCCGGAAUUAUUGGGCGUAAAGGGCUCGUAGGCGGUUUGUCGCGUCGGGAGUGAAAACCAGGUGCUUAACACCUGGCUUGCUUUCGAUACGGGCAGACUAGAGGUAUUCAGGGGAGAACGGAAUUCCUGGUGUAGCGGUGAAAUGCGCAGAUAUCAGGAGGAACACCGGUGGCGAAGGCGGUUCUCUGGGAAUGACCUGACGCUGAGGAGCGAAAGUGUGGGGAGCGAACAGG
rnacentral:rRNA from 1 species